GGAGAAUGUUAUCACGGGAGACACACGGCGGGUGCUAACGUCCGUCGUGAAGAGGGAAACAACCCAGACCGCCAGCUAAGGUCCCAAAGUCAUGGUUAAGUGGGAAACGAUGUGGGAAGGCCCAGACAGCCAGGAUGUUGGCUUAGAAGCAGCCAUCAUUUAAAGAAAGCGUAAUAGCUCACUGGUCGAGUCGGCCUGCGCGGAAGAUGUAACGGGGCUAAACCAUGCACCGAAGCUGCGGCAGCGACACUCAGGUGUUGUUGGGUAGGGGAGCGUUCUGUAAGCCUGCGAAGGUGGCCUGUGAGGGUUGCUGGAGGUAUCAGAAGUGCGAAUGCUGACAUAAGUAACGAUAAAGCGGGUGAAAAGCCCGCUCGCCGGAAGACCAAGGGUUCCUGUCCAACGUUAAUCGGGGCAGGGUGAGUCGACCCCUAAGGCGAGGCCGAAAGGCGUAGUCGAUGGGAAACGGGUUAAUAUUCCCGUACUUGGUGUUACUGCGAAGGGGGGACGGAGAAGGCUAUGUUGGCCGGGCGACGGUUGUCCCGGUUUAAGCGUGUAGGUGUGUGUUCCAGGUAAAUCCGGUUCACUUUAACACUGAGGCGUGAUGACGAGGCACUACGGUGCUGAAGCAACAAAUGCCCUGCUUCCAGGAAAAGCCUCUAAGCAUCAGGUAACAUCAAAUCGUACCCCAAACCGACACAGGUGGUCAGGUAGAGAAUACCAAGGCGCUUGAGAGAACUCGGGUGAAGGAACUAGGCAAAAUGGUGCCGUAACUUCGGGAGAAGGCACGCUGACACGUAGGUGAAGUGAUUUACUCAUGGAGCUGAAGUCAGUCGAAGAUACCAGCUGGCUGCAACUGUUUAUUAAAAACACAGCACUGUGCAAACACGAAAGUGGACGUAUACGGUGUGACGCCUGCCCGGUGCCGGAAGGUUAAUUGAUGGGGUCAGCGCAAGCGAAGCUCCUGAUCGAAGCCCCGGUAAACGGCGGCCGUAACUAUAACGGUCCUAAGGUAGCGAAAUUCCUUGUCGGGUAAGUUCCGACCUGCACGAAUGGCGUAAUGAUGGCCAGGCUGUCUCCACCCGAGACUCAGUGAAAUUGAACUCGCUGUGAAGAUGCAGUGUACCCGCGGCAAGACGGAAAGACCCCGUGAACCUUUACUAUAGCUUGACACUGAACAUUGAGCCUUGAUGUGUAGGAUAGGUGGGAGGCUUUGAAGUGUGGACGCCAGUCUGCAUGGAGCCGGCCUUGAAAUACCACCCUUUAAUGUUUGAUGUUCUAACGUGGACCCGUGAUCCGGGUUGCGGACAGUGUCUGGUGGGUAGUUUGACUGGGGCGGUCUCCUCCUAAAGAGUAACGGAGGAGCACGAAGGUUGGCUAAUCCUGGUCGGACAUCAGGAGGUUAGUGCAAUGGCAUAAGCCAGCUUGACUGCGAGCGUGACGGCGCGAGCAGGUGCGAAAGCAGGUCAUAGUGAUCCGGUGGUUCUGAAUGGAAGGGCCAUCGCUCAACGGAUAAAAGGUACUCCGGGGAUAACAGGCUGAUACCGCCCAAGAGUUCAUAUCGACGGCGGUGUUUGGCACCUCGAUGUCGGCUCAUCACAUCCUGGGGCUGAAGUAGGUCCCAAGGGUAUGGCUGUUCGCCAUUUAAAGUGGUACGCGAGCUGGGUUUAGAACGUCGUGAGACAGUUCGGUCCCUAUCUGCCGUGGGCGCUGGAGAACUGAGGGGGGCUGCUCCUAGUACGAGAGGACCGGAGUGGACGCAUCACUGGUGUUCGGGUUGUCAUGCCAAUGGCACUGCCCGGUAGCUAAAUGCGGAAGAGAUAAGUGCUGAAAGCAUCUAAGCACGAAACUUGCCCCGAGAUGAGUUCUCCCUGAGACUUUAGGUCUCCUGAAGGAACGUUGAAGACGACGACGUUGAUAGGCCGGGUGUGUAAGCGCAGCGAUGCGUUGAGCUAACCGGUACUAAUGAACCGUGAGGCUUAACCUUACA
rnacentral:rRNA from 1 species